GCACUGCUGAUGAGACCAAACAGGUCGAAGCAGCUGUCCAGUGC
rfam:Echinostoma caproni strain Egypt genome assembly, scaffold: ECPE_scaffold0002410